AGGACGAACGCUGGCGGCGUGCUUAACACAUGCAAGUGGAGCGACGAACCAGGGCUUGCCCUGGGGCAGAGCCGCGAACGGGUGAGUAACACGUGGGUCACCUGCCUCGAUGACCGGGACAACCCGAGGAAACUCGGGCUAAUACCGGAUGUGCCCGCAAGGGGAAAGGAAGCUUCGGCCUCCGCAUCGAGAUGGGCCCGCGGCCCAUUAGCUUGUUGGUGAGGUAACGGCUCACCAAGGCUUCGAUGGGUAGCUGGUCUGAGAGGACGAUCAGCCACACUGGGACUGAGACACGGCCCAGACUCCUACGGGAGGCAGCAGUGGGGAAUCUUGCGCAAUGCGCGAAAGCGUGACGCAGCAACGCCGCGUGGGGAAGAGGCUUUCGGGUUGUAAACCCCUUUCAGUUGGGACGAAGCUUCUCCGGUGAACAGCCGGACGGAGUGACGGUACCUUCACAAGAAGCACCGGCUAACUACGCGCCAGCAGCCGCGGU
rnacentral:rRNA from 1 species